AAACGAUCCAGACAGCCUUUACUCUGCUGGACCAGGAGUUCCAAAAACUGGUUCGAGAAAAGUCAGAGGUUUCUCAAGCUGUUACUGCUCUGCAAAGAGAGAAAGAAGCUCAUGAAGCCUAUAGACAACAACAGCAACAGGAGCUGCAGGAGAUGCUGGACAGACAUCGCUCUCAAAAUGAGGCGUGGCUGCGAGCGAGAGCCGAGGAGAACGACCAAGAGAGG